CAGCAAACACCUGACCCAGUGGGGAAGCUGUGCCUUCCAUCUUGGAGGGAACAUGAUGCCUCAGGAAUGUGAUGGGUGCACCCCAGGGUAGCAGUGAGCUCCUGAGGUGCUUUGGGAUGACACCAGUGGGAAAUAUUUUCCAAAGUGCGUCCUCUUGGUUGCUUUCAGGUGACUUCCAGCACUGACACCUGCCUCGUAGCAGCAGCCCAUAAGUGCGGUGUUUGAGAUGGGAACCAUUACGCCAGCACUUUUGCUUUCUGCAGUAAUUCACCAUUGACUUUUGUUUUGUAACUUCAGCUUUUAAUAUCUAUUGACCUGGUUCUACAUGAAUAAUUUAGUGUUUAUGAACAAUUGUAGUAACUGAACCCACGCCAUUAACUAAACCAUGAGCUCAGGGAAGUAGGAUAAAAGUUCAUAAAACGUAAAAUGAACGCUAAGGGGUCCACCAUAGACCUGAGCAGAAUUUUUAUUUUACCUGCAAUCCCAAAGAGCAUUUAGCUGCUCGGUGUUUAAGUGACAGAAUCAUGCUGGCACAUCUAGGUCUCUGGAUCCAUGCAGUUAUCUGGCGUUGGUGCAAUAAGAUUCCCAGUUACAGCACUGGGAUUAUUGGGCUGUAAGCCUGAGGUAUGCGAAUUUUCUGCAGGAUCAGGUAGUUUAGUUCUUUAUUUUUUGCAAUUACAUCUGACUUGCCUGGCAGCUUUAAUUCCAGCUGAGCACACUGUCUUUUGCACUUGCUUUUCAGAAUGUUGCCAGUUUGAAGGUGUUUGCUGAUUCGUUUCCUUCCUUUAGAGGAUACCGGGCUGGUUAAUGUUUGCCAUGUGCGGGCUGUCUCCUAGUAUCAAAAUCUGACCUCAGUAUAUCAGCAAUUUGCAAUUCACCAAGAUGAAAAGAUCCACUAAGGUAAGUGCAAACUCUGAAGUUGGUACCUCACCAGAAUAAAGGUUUUAGAUUCACAGCUCCACAUAACUGUAGUUUGCACAGCUAGGAGUCCUUGGGGUAGAGAGCAGAUACGAGCUGGCUGUAACGAAUAAACAGGAUUCUCUGCUGAGGCUGCUGUGAUCUUUCCUGCUGUCCAACUGGCAGAAUAACAAAACGUGUUAUCAGACAGAGACUCUGUAAAUCUUAGAUAUGGAUUUUCCCAUCAUAGGCUCCAGACCUGAAACUGGAUCCACUCAGCACCGGCGGAAGGGACUGGGGGUUAUUUAACAACCUGCAGGACUCAGCCACUUGAGAGUGGAUUGAACAUCUCUGAUGUUGUAUAUCACAAUGUUAUGACAGCUCUGCUGGGCCACAGCCAGCUGUCCGUGCUGCCAAAAUGCCCAUCGGUUCCAGUCGUUUCGCACAGUGAAUGGCACGGUAAUGUGGAAACUUCAAACAGCAACAGGAAGAAAAGUUUUCUGUCCAGCUGAACUCAGCAGGGAACCUGCCUGAUGCCGCAGCAGGCACUUGUCCGGAAGCUCGGUGCUCGCCCCCUGGAAGGCACGGCGGUGGGCUCGCUAGCCGAGGGGCUGCUGCCAUAUUAUACAGGCUUUCCUGACACAAAUCUCUCUGGACCAGUUGACCCAAGCACUGUCAGCCGAGGAGCUGCAGCCAUGCACCCCACCCGGGGGUCCUGGGGGCAGUGGGGGCCUUCAGGCUGCUGCUGGGGGGGUCUGCGGGCUGCUGCCAGCCCAGCCCAGGACCUGCCCAGGAGGCUGCCACCACCACACACGUGCCUGAGGAGAGUGUGAACCCAACUAUUUGAGCUGUGCCAAUGUGCCCAGAGGUGCUCGCAAGGCUGCGGUAAGGUGCCCGUCAUUUACUGGGAGGCGAGCGCAUCCAGUCCAGCGUGCUCGCUGGCUCCAAAGUUAAACCCUGCUAUUUGGAUCAACUUCAGCUUUUCGCCUCACUCUAAACCCUCUCUCCUGCACUGUUCACCUUACAUCCCUCCACACGGCCCCACUGUCCCGUCCUGGUGGCAGUGGGAGCUGGGGGUUGCUGCCCACGGCCGGGCCAGCGAUGCCGAGCGGUGCGGGUUAGCGAGCAUCCGAGGCUGAGGGCUUGUCCCUGAAUGCACAUUGUUCUCGAAGCUCCCAAGGCCAGAGGGGAGAAUAGUUGAACUGUUUACAAUAUUGUUUCAUAGGCUGCUAAAAAGCAGCCAUCUGUUUUUCAGAAGCGCAGCAAAACGUUUAUGAGCGUGGGACCUGCUCCAGCUCUCUGCCGCGGAGCUCUCGCGGCGGGGCCGUGGCCACCCUGCACCACGCGCCAGCCGGUGCGCGCUGCUGACAAAGGGGUUGCAGGACACACGCACCUCAGCCUUUCCUCCCUUUCCCCAGACAAAGAUCUUCCAGGUACCCUGAUUUAC